rnacentral:rRNA from 1 species
UACGUAGGGUGCGAGCGUUUAAUCGGAAUUACUGGGCGUAAAGCGUGCGCAGGCGGUUUUGUAAGCCAGAUGUGAAAUCCCCGGGCUUAACCUGGGAAUGGCAUUUGGGACUGCAAGGCUUGAGUGCGGCAGAGGAGACUGGAAUUCCUGGUGUAGCAGUGAAAUGCGUAGAUAUCAGGAGGAACACCGAUGGCGAAGGCAGGUCUCUGGGCUGACACUGACGCUCAUGCACGAAAGCGUGGGGAGCAA